CCUACGGGAGGCUGCAGUGGGGGAUAUUGCACAAUGGGGGAAACCCUGAUGCAGCGACGCCGCGUGGGUGAAGAAGUAUUUCGGUAUGUAAAGCCCUAUCAGCAGGGAAGAAAGAAGACGGUACCUGACUAAGAAGCCCCGGCUAACUACGUGCCAGCAGCCGCGGUAAUACGUAGGGGGCGAGCGUUAUCCGGAUUCACUGGGUGUAAAGGGAGCGUAGACGGCCGUGCAAGCCAGGAGUGAAAGCCCGGGGCACAACCCCGGGACUGCUCUUGGAACUGUGCGGCUGGAGUGCGGGAGGGGCAGGCGGAAUGCCUGGUGUAGCGGUGAAAUGCGUAGAUAUCAGGAGGAACACCGGCGGCGAAGGCGGCCUGCUGGACCGCGACUGACGUUGAGGCUCGAAAGCGUGGGGAGCGAACAGGAUUAGAUACCCUAGUAGUC
rnacentral:rRNA from 1 species